GUUUUUAUAGUUUAAAUAAAACAUUAGUUUUGUAAACUAAAAUUUGGUUAGCCAUAUAAACU
rnacentral:tRNA from 1 species